rnacentral:pre_miRNA from 1 species
UGUAACAGCCGCUCCAUGUGGAAAAUGCAUUCAAGUGCCCAUGGAGAAGCUGUUACCUG